AAAAUUGUCAACAAGAGUGACUUUGUUUUGCUGGGGUACUGUUUAGUAUACAAUUAAAGGAAACUAAAGUGCAAAAGAAAAGCACUCUAUAUGUUUUCACUAUUAAUAGAAAUUUUUUAAUGCAAAUAUUUAUUUUGGCAGGAAACUAAACUUAUAGUUUUACAGCAUUUACAUUGUGUUAGAAGUAAUUUCUUUGGGAAGAAUGCAUAAGUGAGAAAGAAUGGAAAUGCGGAAAGAAUAAAAUGAAAAGAGUUGGUACAGCUGAUUCAAUGGAAGGAAUGUAAAGAAUAAAAGACAACAGGGAAAAUAUCUUGUGGAGAAUCUUAUCAUCCAUUGACUUCUUUCUCCAUUGCUGCCCUAGCCCUUGAUGGUUUCUUUUCUUGAGCACUUUAUAUCAUCCCGCUGCCGCUCUACUUUCUGAUGAGAAAUCAGCAGAUGAGAAUCCAUGUACGUGAAAGUUGGCUUCUGAUGGAUGCGUUACUGACGCUUCCAUUAUGAACUGCUGAGGAAGGAGUGACGUACGUGGUGUAGGAUGCAUGCAGAAGGAAGUCAGUAAACAUUACCUUCCCAGAUCCUUACUUGCAUGUGCCUUGUGGAGGGCCAAGAUAUAAAUGGGAUUCUGAAGAUAAUUUCUGCUCUCACAUCAUAACUUUCAGACGUAUUGGAAGGGCACUUUUCAGACACAAAGCAAGUCCAAAUCAAAGGUAACUGAGAAAACAAGACUAAGCUUUGAGGCAGAUAAAUUUUAUUAUGAGUUGAAUUAUGUCUUUCCAAAAGAUAAAGUCCUAACUCCUAGUACUUUAGAAUGUGACCUUUUUUGGAAAUAGGGUCCUUGAAGAUGUAGUUAGAUAAUUUAAGAUGUGGUCAUGCUGGAGUAGGGUGGAACCUUAAUCCAAUAUGACUGAUGUCCUUUUAAGAAGAGGCAAGAUGAUGUGAAGACAGACACACACAGAGAAGGUUAUGUGACUUGGGAGGCAGAAAUUGGAGUGACAUAUAUCUAUAAGCCAAGGAAAGCCUGGCGCUACCAGAAGCUCGAAGAGUCAAGGAAAGAUCCUCCCCGAGAGGCCUCAGGGGAGCAAGGCCCUGCCAACACCUUGAUUUUGGACUUUAAGAAACUGAGACAGAGGUUGUUUUAGUCACCCAGUUUGUGGCAUUUUGUUCUGGCUGCCCUAGGAAACUAAUACAAACUUGAACACAGCAGAAACUUGAAACAUGUGUGUGUGAAGUGCUGUCACUGCCAUUCUCUAGUGUUAGCAAUUUUCCCUUUGGAUUUAGAUGUGAGCACUAUGAUAAUAACUAGAUUUGGUCAGAUUAUGUUUGGUACCCAACCAAUGAUUACAGUGGUGUAGAUAUGUUAACAAAAACUAAAAAUAAUUGUAAAGAUAGAAAAGAAAAAAACAAAACCAAUAUAUUUGAACAUGUCAGGCUUACAUAGAUCAAGGUGACAUGCCUUAAUUAUAAAUUCAUUAUCAUUUAAUUAACCAGUCAUUUCUUAUCAUUACUCUAAAUAUAAAAUUCUAAAGAUUUUCAUUCUUGAAAAAUAAAUCAUAAAUAUAUGGCAGCCUAGAUAGCUUAAUUAAAAGUUUUGUAAUUUUACCCUAAAAUUCCAGAGUUCAAUUCCUUAAAUCUGAGUGCCUGGGAUUUAGUAACUACUCAAUAAAUGUAGGCUGAAUUAAGGAAGAUAAUGAAAAUGAUAUGUAUUUUAAUUAAAUGAAAUAACAAGAAUUAUAGUCAAUUUUCUCCCAAGGUCACUUUGAUAUGAAGUCUCUAAACUAAAUAACACU